UACGGGGGGGGCAAGCGUUGUUUGGAAUUACUGGGCGUAAAGGGCGUGUAGGUGGCCAACUAAGUCCGACGUGAAAUCCCCAGGCUUAACCUGGGAACUGCGUCGGAUACUGGAUGGCUUGAAUUCGGGAGAGGAAUGCAGAAUUCCAGGUGUAGCGGUGAAAUGCGUAGAUAUCUGGAGGAACACCGAUGGCGAAGGCAGGUCUCUGGGCCACUACUGACGCUGAGAAGCGAAAGCGUGGGGAGCGAACAGG
rnacentral:rRNA from 1 species